CAUAUCAAUAAGCGGAGGAAAAGAAACCAACAGGGAUUGCCCUAGUAACGGCGAGUGAAGCGGCAACAGCUCAAAUUUGAAAUCUGGCUCUUUUAGAGUCCGAGUUGUAAUUUGCAGAGGGCGCUUUGGCGUUGGCAGCGGUCCAAGUUCUUUGGAACAGGACGUCACAGAGGGUGAGAAUCCCGUACGUGGUCGCUAGCCUUCGCCGUGUAAAGCCCCUUCGACGAGUCGAGUUGUUUGGGAAUGCAGCUCUAAAUGGGAGGUAAAUUUCUUCUAAAGCUAAAUACUGGCCAGAGACCGAUAGCGCACAAGUAGAGUGAUCGAAAGAUGAAAAGCACUUUGGAAAGAGAGUCAAAUAGCACGUGAAAUUGUUGAAAGGGAAGCGCUUGCAGCCAGACUUGCCUGUAGUUGCUUAUCCGGACUUUUGUCCGGUGCACUCUUCUGCGGGCAGGCCAGCAUCAGUUUAGGCGGUUGGAUAAAGGUCUCUAUCACGUACCUCCCUUCGGGGUUGGCCUUAUAGGGGAGACGACAUGCAACCAGCCUGAACUGAGGUCCGCGCAUCUGCUAGGAUGCUGGCGUAAUGGCUGUAAGCGGCCCGUCUUGAAACACGGACCAAGGAGUCUAACAUCUAUGCGAGUGUUUGGGUGUCAAGCCCAGACGCGUAAUGAAAGUGAACGGAGGUGGGAACCUUUUAGGUGCACCAUCGACCGAUCCUGAUGUCUUCGGAUGGAUUUGAGUAAGAGCAUGGCUGUUGGGACCCGAAAGAUGGUGAACUAUGCUUGAAUAGGGUGAAGCCAGAGGAAACUCUGGUGGAGGCUCGCAGCGGUUCUGACGUGCAAAUCGAUCGUCAAAUUUGGGCAUAGGGGCGAAAGACUAAUCGAAC
rnacentral:rRNA from 1 species